AUGCCGGAGAUGGAGACAAAGAAGGUGGCUGCGGGCGGCCAUGACGCUGGUGUUGUCUGGAGGGGUCCCGGAGGGGUUCUCCAGCCCCCCGGCGGGUCGUUACGCCUCGUCUGCACCGGCUCCGGCUUCACCUUCAGCAGCUUCGCCAUGCACUGGGCACGGCAGGCGCCUGGGAAGGGGCUGGAGUUCGUCGCGAGAAUUGACAACGAUGGUGACACAUACUACGGGUCGGCGUUCAAGGGCCGCUUCACCAUCUCCAGGGACAACUCCCAGAGCACGGUCACGCUGCAGAUGAGCAGCCUCACGGCCGACGACACGGCCACCUACUACUGCGCCAAAAGUGCUGGUGCUUGGUGGUGCUGGUGCUGGUUACAUUGA